UACGUAGGGGGCAAGCGUUGUCCGGAUUUAUUGGGCGUAAAGAGCGUGUAGGCGGCCACACAGGUCCGCUGUGAAAACUCGAGGCUCAACCUCGAGCUGUCGGUGGAAACCGUGUGGCUAGAGUCCGGAAGAGGAGAGUGGAAUUCCCGGUGUAGCGGUGAAAUGCGCAGAUAUCGGGAAGAACACCCGUGGCGAAGGCGGCACUCUGGGACGGUACUGACGCUGAGACGCGAAAGCGUGGGGAGCGAACAGG
rnacentral:rRNA from 1 species